CCUACGGGCGGCAUCAGUGGGGAAUAUUGGACAAUGGGGGCAACCCUGAUCCAGCCAUGCCGCGUGUGUGAAGAAGGCCCUCGGGUUGUAAAGCACUUUCAGUGAGGAAGAACGCCUGGUGGUUAAUACCCAUCAGGAAAGACAUCACUCACAGAAGAAGCACCGGCUAACUCCGUGCCAGCAGCCGCGGUAAUACGGAGGGUGCGAGCGUUAAUCGGAAUUACUGGGCGUAAAGCGCGCGUAGGUGGCUUGAUAAGCCGGUUGUGAAAGCCCCGGGCUCAACCUGGGAACGGCAUCCGGAACUGUCAAGCUAGAGUGCAGGAGAGGAAGGUAGAAUUCCCGGUGUAGCGGUGAAAUGCGUAGAGAUCGGGAGGAAUACCAGUGGCGAAGGCGGCCUUCUGGACUGACACUGACACUGAGGUGCGAAAGUGUGGGUAGCAAACAGGAUUAGAUACCCUAGUAGUC
rnacentral:rRNA from 1 species